GAUGAACGCUGGCGGCGUGCCUAAUACAUGCAAGUCGAGCGAACAGACGAGGAGCUUGCUCCUUUGACGUUAGCGGCGGACGGGUGAGUAACACGUGGAUAACCUACCUAUAAGACUGGGAUAACUUCGGGAAACCGGAGCUAAUACCGGAUAACAUUGUGAACCGCAUGGUUCAACAGUGAAAGACGGUCUUGCUGUCACUUAUAGAUGGAUCCGCGCCGCAUUAGCUAGGUGGUAAGGUAACGGCUUACCAAGGCAACGAUGCGUAGCCGACCUGAGAGGGUGAUCGGCCACACUGGAACUGAGACACGGUCCAGACUCCUAAGGGAGGCAGCAGUAGGGAAUCUUCCGCAAUGGGCGAAAGCCUGACGGAGCAACGCCGCGUGAGUGAAGAAGGUCUUCGGAUCGUAAAACUCUGUUAUUAGGGAAGAACAAAUGUGUAAGUAACUAUGCACGUCUUGACGGUACCUAAUCAGAAAGCCACGGCUAACUACGUG
rnacentral:rRNA from 1 species